rnacentral:rRNA from 1 species
AUUGAACGCUGGCGGCAGGCCUAACACAUGCAAGUCGAACGAGUGGCGGACGGGUGAGUAAUGUCUGGGAAACUGCCUGAUGGAGGGGGAUAACUACUGGAAACGGUAGCUAAUACCGCAUACCAUCAGAUGUGCCCAGAUGGGAUUAGCUUGUUGGUGGGUUAACGGCUCACCAGGGCGCCGAUCCCUAGCUGGUUUGAGAGGAUGACCAGCACCACUGGAAUUGAGACACGGUCCAGACUCCUACGGAGGGCAGAAGUGGGGAAUAUUGCACAAUGGGCGCAAGCUUGAUGCAGCCAUGCCGCGUGUAUGAAGAAGGCCUUCGGGUUGUAAAGUAUGUUCAGCGGGGAGGCGUUACCCGCAGAAGAAGCACCGGCUAACUCCGUGCCAGCAGCCGCGGUAAUUC